AUUGAACGCUGGCGGCAGGCCUAACACAUGCAAGUCGAACGGUAACAGGAAACAGCUUGCUGUUUCGCUGACGAGUGGCGGACGGGUGAGUAAUGUCUGGGAAACUGCCUGAUGGAGGGGGAUAACUACUGGAAACGGUAGCUAAUACCGCAUAACGUCGCAAGACCAAAGAGGGGGACCCUCGGGCCUCUUGCCAUCGGAUGUGCCCAGAUGGGAUUAGCUUGUUGGUGGGGUAACGGCUCACCAAGGCGACGAUCCCUAGCUGGUCUGAGAGCAUGACCAGCCACACUGGAACUGAGACACGGUCCAGACUCCUACGGGAGGCAGCAGUGGGGAAUAUUGCACAAUGGGCGCAAGCCUGAUGCAGCCAUGCCGCGUGUAUGAAGAAGGCCUUCGGGUUGUAAAGUACUUUCAGCGGGGAGGAAGGGAGUAAAGUUAAUACCUUUGCUCAUUGACGUUACCCGCAGAAGAAGCACCGGCUAACUCCGUG
rnacentral:rRNA from 1 species